CAGCAGCCGCGGUAAUACGAAGGGGGCUAGCGUUGUUCGGAAUUACUGGGCGUAAAGCGCACGUAGGCGGAUACUUAAGUUAGGGGUGAAAUCCCAGGGCUCAACCCUGGAACUGCCUUUAAUACUGGGUAUCUUGAGUUCGAGAGAGGUAAGUGGAAUUCCGAGUGUAGAGGUGAAAUUCGUAGAUAUUCGGAGGAACACCAGUGGCGAAGGCGGCUUACUGGCUCGAUACUGACGCUGAGGUGCGAAAGCGUGGGGAGCAAACAGGAUUAGAGACCCCCGUAGUCCCUGUCUCUUAUAC
rnacentral:rRNA from 1 species